CAUAUCAAGUUUGAAUCACAAGUUCACAUGCGAUCAGCAAAGUUAAGCAACGUAGAGCCUGGUCAGUACCUAGAUAGGUGAACGCUUGGAAUACCAGGUGUU